AUGAACGCUGGCGGCGUGCCUAAUCCCUGCCAGUCGAGCGAACGGACGAGAAGCUUGCUUCUCUGAUGUUAGCGGCGGACGGGUGAGUAACACGUGGAUAACCUACCUAUAAGACUGGGCUAACUUCGGGAAACCGGAGCUAAUACCGGAUAAUAUUUUGAACCGCAUGGUUCAAAAGUGAAAGACGGUCUUGCUGUCACUUAUAGAUGGAUCCGCGCUGCAUUAGCUAGUUGGUAAGGUAACGGCUUACCAAGGCAACGAUGCAUAGCCGACCUGAGAGGGUGAUCGGCCACACUGGAACUGAGACACGGUCCAGACUCCUACGGGAGGCAGCAGUAGGGAAUCUUCCGCAAUGGGCGAAAGCCUGACGGAGCAACGCCGCGUGAGUGAUGAAGGUCUUCGGAUCGUAAAACUCUGUUAUUAGGGAAGAACAUAUGUGUAAGUAACUGUGCACAUCUUGACGGUACCUAAUCAGAAAGCCACGGCUAACUACGUG
rnacentral:rRNA from 1 species